GAGGCCGUCCGUGAGGUGCUCCUCUAGAUGCUCCCUUCCAGCGUUGGGCCUAGGUGUUCAACGCCGCCCUCACCAUCCCCUUCUUCCAUUGGCUCAUCGGCCCGUCAGAGGUUAUUGAGGUGGAGGUCAACGGUGUGAGGCGGAGAAGUGGAGUGCUUAUAAAGAAACACAGCUGCUGCCUGGAUUGGCCGCUGCCGCCUCCAGUCGCUUCCUCCUGGGCAUCCC